CGGGUGAGUAACGCGUGAGUAACCUGCCCUGGAGUGGGGGACAACAGUUGGAAACGACUGCUAAUACCGCAUAAGCCCACGGAUCCGCAUGGAUCUGCGGGAAAAGGAUUUAUUCGCUUCAGGAUGGACUCGCGUCCAAUUAGCUAGUUGGUGAGGUAACGGCCCACCAAGGCGACGAUGCGUAGCCGACCUGAGAGGGUGACCGGCCACAUGGGACUGAGACACGGCCCAG
rnacentral:rRNA from 1 species